CACACCGUUUUUCUGCCUCCUGCUGGAAAUCCGAAGAAGUGAGUUGCAUUUAUAUCUCAGCCUUAAGUUGGAAUUGCCAGACUAUAUUCCAGAAUAGGUAUACCAUAUUACAUUACCACUAACAUGG